rnacentral:tRNA from 1 species
AGCUCAGCUGGUAGAGCACCCGACUCUUAAUCGGGGUGUCGAGGGUUCGAAUCCUUCAUGGCC